GCCCUUCAGGCAUUUCAUUUGAAGUUAAUGCUUUUAAUUUUGUACAAUUUCAGUUUCAUCCAGACUUUUAUUUUGAUGUUUGUAUUUGUGGGCUGUAUAGGAAGUAGGCAGGAAAAUAGUUUAGAUCACGUUAGAAUUUGUGUGUGAAAAACGCUAGAAACGGCAGGUUGAUUAAAAGUGCAGACGGUCAUUACCCCAGAGAAACUGCUUCUUACAUGUUGAUUCCCCAGCAGAGGCAUCACUUGUUUCACAGUGUGCUAAGUGCCAAUACACCAGGCUGUCGAUUAAACAAGAGACCCAAUACAUCCCAAUAUGUGUGGACCAUCCCUUGGAGCUUAUUGGGAUGGAUUUGGUUGACAAGCUGUCUCCAACAAACAAAGGGAAUGAGUACAUGUGUGUCCUAGUGGAUUAUUACACCAAGUGGUCGGAGGCUUAUGCUAUUCCGAAUAAAAGUGCUGAGGUUGUAUCUCAGUGCAUUAUAAACUUUUUUUACCGCUUUGGGGCACCACAACGGAUACUGACAGACCAAGGGAGAGAAUUUGUGAAUGAUGUUAGUAGUUUUGCUUGUUGAAUGUUGAACCACUCUUAAUUGAAGUUCAGGAGGAUGUGUGGGAUUCUGUGAAACAUAUUUAUGGCUUACUAUUGUAUUAUUCUACAAAUGUUUUCAAAACAGAUCAACAAAAAUCUAUGCAAGUUCCUCAAUGUGGAGAGAAGUCUCUGUGCUCCGUAUCACCCACAGACCAAUGGUCUAGUGGAAAGAUUAAAUGGGACAAUUCAAAGAGCACUGUGUAAACUCGUCGAAGACAAGCCUCAAGAGUGGGACGAGUAUCUGGAUGCUGUAAUGUUUGGCUUGAGGACCAAGAUACACCUCACCACUAGAUUCAGUCCAUUUUUUUUAAUGUUUGGUAUGGAGGCACGCUACCCAUGUGAAUC